AGGUCAGGAGGGUUGACUAUGGAGAUGUUGUUUGCGUCUCUCUUUGGGAUGUUAAGGAACUGUGUGGAGAAGCAGCAUCCAUACCUGUGCAAGCGCUGCAGGUCUCUCUGGUGAACGUGAGGCCAGUGAAUGGAGAAACAUGGUCUUUUGAAACGAUCAGCUGGUUCAAGAGUAAAGCGCAGAACAAGACUCUUUAUGCCAGGCUUUACCCAGAAGAAGGAGAAGUUUUGGUUGAGCUCUUCAUGGAGAAGGGAAAGAUUGGUGCUAUGAGCGAUCUGUCGUGUAGUUUACACACAACAGCAGCGAGAUGAUCCUCCAGACAGUCGUGAGUGUGAACCCGGCAGAACUUAAAGAAGAGAGGAGACUCUCUGUCUGUGAGACUUGCUCAGAAUAGAUUUGCCAUUCAUGAAUGUAACAAACCCAGGGGUCUGAAGAGAAGUGAGUGACGCAUAAUUAGAUAAUAACACAAUGGACAGUAAUUCUUUAUAGUAACAUGUAUGAUGUGAUUUCUCAG
ensembl:lncRNA